rnacentral:rRNA from 1 species
CUGUCCUUAGUACGAGAGGACCGGGAUGGACAUACCUCUGGUGUACCAGUUGUCGUGCCAACGGCAUAGCUGGGUAGCUAUGUAUGGACGGGAUAAGUGCUGAAAGCAUCUAAGCAUGAAGCCCCCCUCAAGAUGAGAUUUCCCAACUUCGGUUAUAAGAUCCCUCGAAGAUGACGAGGUUAAUAGGUUCGAGGUGGAAGCGUGGUGACACGUGUAGCUGACGAAUACUAAUCGAUCGAAGACUUAAUCAA